CUAUUUUCUUCCACUUUUUGAACAAUAAUCGACAUAUUUUCCUUUUUAAUUGAAACAAACUUUCCAAUCUUCAAAUUUUAACCAUUUUCAAUUCCCAAAGCAACAUUGAUACUUCACAAAGUCUAUCCAAAAUCUCAUUCGUUUCUCUCUCCAUCUCCACUUCUCUACCAACUUUGUCUCCACUUCUAUACCCACUCUUCCUUUCUCCCUCCGACUCCAUCAAUCUCUUUGCUUGAAGAUGUGAAGGUUCUGGUUGCUUAUAUAAUAUUGUUGUUUUUAUUUAUGUUUCAACAUAAUGGUACUCAUAGGAUUGGAUCUCUUUUCGCACCUGUUGUGUUGACGUGGCUGAUAUGCAGCAGUUCUGUAUUGUAGCACUUUAUCUUUGAACUUAUGCAAGUGAAUUUGCAUCCCUGUGAAGCGAGCUGCAACAAGUGUGGGACGAUUGUAACCACCAAAUAUCUCAAGUGAAAACUUUAAGUAGUGAAAUAGUCAAGUUUAAAGAUUCUUCAUAAAAGUAUGGUUCUGAACUGAACAACUUAACCAUGAAAACAUAGAAAUUGGAGACAAAAUGUCCUUUUCAAGAUAAUCAUAUAAUGGAAUUACAAGAGAAACUAAUGAUUGCGGAGAACAAACUCGAGGUGUGGUCACUGUAAGCAGCUUGUAUGGUCACACAAAGUUUGAAUACAAAUUAUGUUGUUCCUUAGUGGAAUCCGCAAUUUGAAUAUGGUGGUAGCCAGUUUAAAUCCUAAUUGUUCUUGAUGAUGUGUGGUUAAAAUAUGUAUUGGACCAACUUGUGUUUAGAAUACCUCAUGUCAAUUAUAUUAUUAUCUCAAGUUUAAGAUUCGUUGACACAAUUUAUUAAGUGGAAAUGUUACUGAUGAGAUUUCUCUGAACGAUGAGGUAUAGCGAUUUUUGUAAAUGUUUUUUGUUA